rnacentral:misc_RNA from 1 species
GAUGAAGAACGUAGCGAAAUGCGAUAAGUAAUGUGAAUUGCAGAAUUCAGUGAAUCAUCGAAUCUUUGAACGCACAUUGCGCCCGCCAGUAUUCUGGCGGGCAUGCCUGUUCGAGCGUCAUUUCAACCACCAAGCCCCAGGCUUGUGUUGGGGACCUGCGGCUGCCGCAGGCCCUGAAAACCAGUGGCGGGCUCGCUGUCACACCGGGCGUAGUAGAUUUUAUCUCGCUCAGGGCGUGCUGCGGGUUCCGGCCGUUAAAAAGCCUUUUUUACCCAAGGUUGACCUCGGAUCAGGUAGGAAGACCCGCUGAACUUAAGCAUAUCAAUAAGCGGAGGA